rnacentral:rRNA from 1 species
GCUGAUGGCGUGCCUUUUGAAGAAUGAGCCUGCGAGUUAGUGGUAUGUCGCGAGGUUAACCCGUGUGGGGAAGCCGUAGCGAAAGCGAGUCCUAAUAGGGCGUUUGAGUGGCAUGCUCUAGACCCGAAGCGGAGUGAUCUACCCAUGGCCAGUGUGAAGCGACGGUAAGACGUCGUGGAGGCGCGAACCCACUUAGGUUGAAAACUGAGGGGAUGAGUUGUGGGUAGGGGUGAAAGGCCAAUCAAACUCCGUGAUAGCUGGUUCUCCCCGAAAUGCAUUUAGGUGCAGCGUCGCAUGUUUCACCUCGGAGGUAGAGCUACUGGAUGGCCGAUGGGCCCUACAAGGUUACUGACGUCAGCCAAACUCCGAAUGCCGAGGUGUGAGAGUGCGGCAGUGAGACUGUGGGGGAUAAGCUUCAUAGUCGAGAGGGAAACAGCCCAGAUCGCCGGCUAAGGCCCCUAAGCGUGUACUAAGUGGAAAAGGAUGUGGGAUCGCUGAGACAGCCAGGAGGUUGGCUUAGAAGCAGCCACCCUUGAAAGAGUGCGUAAUAGCUCACUGGUCAAGUGGUCCUGCGCCGACAAUUUAGCGGGGCUCAAGUACACCGCCGAAGCCGCGGCAUUCAUACAAUAACCUCCUCCGGGCAGGUGUAUGGAUGGGUAGGGGAGCGUCGUGUGGCCAUAGAAGCGCCGGAGUGAUCCAGGCGUGGAGGCCACACGAGUGAGAAUGCAGGCAUGAGUAGCGAAUGACGAGUGAGAAACUCGUCCGCCGAAUGAUCAAGGGUUCCUGGGUCAAGCUAAUCUGCCCAGGGUGAGUCGGGACCUAAGGCGAGGCCGACAGGCGUAGUCGAUGGACAACGGGUUGAUAUUCCCGUACCCGUGU